UAGCUAGUUGGUGAGGUAACGGCUUACCAAGGCGACGAUCUGUAGCGGGUCUGAGAGGAUGAUCCGCCACACUGGAACUGAGACACGGUCCAGACUCCUACGGGAGGCAGCAGUGGGGAAUUUUGGACAAUGGGGGCAACCCUGAUCCAGCCAUGCCGCGUGAGUGAAGAAGGCCUUCGGGUUGUAAAGCUCUUUCGGCCGGGAAGAAAUCGCAUGGGCCAAUACCCUGUGUGGAUGACGGUACCGGAAUAAGAAGCACCGGCUAACUACGUGCCAGCAGCCGCGGUAAUACGUAGGGUGCGAGCGUUAAUCGGAAUUACUGGGCGUAAAGCGUGCGCAGGCGGUUUUGUAAGACAGGCGUGAAAUCCCCGGGCUCAACCUGGGAACUGCGUUUGUGACUGCAAGGCUAGAGUACGGCAGAGGGGGGUGGAAUUCCACGUGUAGCAGUGAAAUGCGUAGAGAUGUGGAGGAACACCAAUGGCGAAGGCAGCCCCCUGGGUCGAUACUGACGCUCAUGCACGAAAGCGUGGGUAGCAAACAGGAUUAGAUACCCUGGUAGUCCACGCCCUAAACUAUGUCAACUAGGUGUUGGGUGGGUAAAACCAUUUAGUACCGUAGCUAACGCGUGAAGUUGACCGCCUGGGGAGUACGGCCGCAAGGUUAAAACUCAAAGGAAUUGACGGGGACCCGCACAAGCGGUGGAUGAUGUGGAUUAAUUCGAUGCAACGCGAAAAACCUUACCUACCCUUGACAUGCCAGGAACUUGCCAGAGAUGGCUUGGUGCCCGAAAGGGAGCCUGGACACAGGUGCUGCAUGGCUGUCGUCAGCUCGUGUCGUGAGAUGUUGGGUUAAGUCCCGCAACGAGCGCAACCCUUGUCGUUAAUUGCCAUCAUUUAGUUGGGCACUUUAGCGAGACUGCCGGUGACAAACCGGAGGAAGGUGGGGAUGACGUCAAGUCCUCAUGGCCCUUAUGGGUAGGGCUUCACACGUCAUACAAUGGUCGGUACAAAGGGUCGCCAAGCCGCGAGGUGGAGCCAAUCCCAGAAAGCCGAUCGUAGUCCGGAUUGCAGGCUGCAACUCGCCUGCAUGAAGUCGGAAUCGCUAGUAAUCGUGGAUCAGCAUGUCACGGUGAAUACGUUCCCGGGUCUUGUACACACCGCCCGUCACACCAUGGGAGCGGGUUCCGCCAGAAGUAGGUAGCCUAACCGUAAGGAGGGCGCUUACCACGGCGGGGUUCGUGACUGGGGUGAAGUCGGAACAAGGUAGCCGUAGGGGAACCUGCGGCUG
rnacentral:rRNA from 1 species